rnacentral:rRNA from 1 species
CCUACGGGUGGCAGCAGUGAGGAAUAUUGGUCAAUGGCCGGAAGGCUGAACCAGCCAAGCCGCGUGAAGGACGAAGGUGCCAAGCAUUGUAAACUUCUUUUGUCAAGGGACAAAAUCAGGCUCGAGAGCCUGACCGAGGGUCCUUGAAGAAAAAGCAUCGGCUCACUCCGUGCCAGCAGCCGCGGUAAUACGGAGGAUGCGAGCGUUAUCCGGAUUUAGUGGUUUAAAUGGGUGCGUAGGGGGAAGGUUAAGUCAGCGGGAGAAUCCCGGGGCUCAACCCCGUCGAGCCGUUGAAACUGGCGUUCUUGAGAUGUCGAGAGGUAUGCGGAAUGCGCAGUGUAGCGGUGAAAUGCUUAGAUAUUGCGCAGAACUCCGAUUGCGAAGGCAGCAUACCGGCGGCGAUCUGACGCUGAGGCACGAAAGCGUGGGUAUCGAACAGGAUUAGAUACCCCAGUAGUC